rnacentral:rRNA from 1 species
UGGGGAAUUUUGGACAAUGGGCGAAAGCCUGAUCCAGCAAUGCCGCGUGUGUGAAGAAGGCCUUCGGGUUGUAAAGCACUUUUGUCCGGAAAAGAAAUCCUUGGCUCUAAUACAGUCGGGGGAUGACGGUACCGGAAGAAUAAGCACCGGCUAACUACGUGCCAGCAGCCGCGGUAAUACGUAGGGUGCAAGCGUUAAUCGGAAUUACUGGGCGUAAAGCGUGCGCAGGCGGUUUGCUAAGACCGAUGUGAAAUCCCCGGCGUCAACCUGGGAACUGGCAUUGGUGAUCUGGCAGGCUAGAGUAUGGCAGAGGGGGUGAGAAUUACCACGUGUAGCAGUGAAAUGCGUAGAGAUGUGGAGGAAUACCGAUGGCGAAGGCAG